CCUACGGGUGGCAGCAGUGAGGAAUAUUGGUCAAUGGGCGCGAGCCUGAACCAGCCAAGUCGCGUGAGGGAAGACGGUCCUAUGGAUUGUAAACCUCUUUUGUCGGGGAGCAAAAGACGCCACGCGUGGCGUUCCGAGAGUACCCGAAGAAAAAGCCUCGGCUCACUCCGUGACAGCAGCCGCGGUAAUACGGAGGAUGCGAGCGUUAUCCGGUUUUCUUGGGUUAAAAGGGUGGGCAGGCGGAAGAUCAAGACAGCGGUAAAAUUGAGAGGCUCAACCUCUUCGAGCCGUUGAAACUGGUUUUCUUGAGUGCGUGAGAAGUAUGCGGAAUGCGUGGUGUAGCGGUGAAAUGCAUAGAUAUCACGCAGAACUCCGAUUGCGAAGGCAGCAUACCGGCGCUCAACUGACGCUCAUGCACGAAAGUGUGGGUAUCGAACAGGAUUAGAUACCCUUGUAGUC
rnacentral:rRNA from 1 species